rnacentral:lncRNA from 1 species
UUUAUUUCUACAAAAUAAAAAAUGCAUGUCAUAUGUAAUUUUUAAGGAUUCGAAGUUACCGCUGCAGAGGAAACAAAAGAAUUUAAAAAAGAGAAUUGCUUUAUGAAAUAAUUUGUUUGCAUCCUUUAUUCAAACAGUUUUAGGCUUUUUAUAAGAGCCAAUUGGAAACACGCAAUCUACACUAGUAACUGCACUUGGAACAACAAAAGACACCCUAGACAAUAACACAUGAAAUACGAGAAAUAAUAGGAAACAUGGGUAAUAAUUUUGCACACAUAGUUAAUAGACCACUUGUCAAGCGCCCAUUUAUUUCAAAGCUCUUAUUACUAAGUCCUAGACUCCUCUUCUCAAGCACAUGGCUAUCAGGUACGUGGGAAGCUUGUUAAAUGCAUGGGUUCUUGCUCGUCUUUGGGAGACAUAUCAGCAUGCUUGGAAAGAGAUACACGCAAGACAAUCAACACAAGAUUUGCUUUAUUUCUAGGANNNNNN